rnacentral:tRNA from 1 species
GGAGAGAUGGCUCAAUGGCUCAAAGCACUUAGUGUUCCUGCAGAGGACCUGGGUUCAAUCCCCAGUCAUUCUG